rnacentral:tRNA from 6 species
GGUCCCGUAGUUAAAUGGAUAGAACGGAGGUUUCCUAAACCUUUGAUCCGAGUUCGAUUCUCGGCGGGACUACUA